rnacentral:rRNA from 1 species
GAACGCUUGCUGCAUGCUUUAUACAUGCAAGUCGAACGGAGGCCCUAGCUUGCUAGGUGUCCUUAGUGGCGCACGGGUGAGUAACACGUGGGAACAUACCUUAUAGUACGGAAUAACUGCGGGAAACUGUAGCUAAUACCGUAUACUCCAGAAAUGGGAAAGAUUUAUCGCUAUAAGAUUGGCCCGCGCAAGAUUAGUUUGUUGGUGAGGUAAAAGCUCACCAAGGCUUCGAUCUUUAGCUGGUUUGAGAGGACGAUCAGCCACACUGGGACUGAGACACGGCCCAGACUCCUACGGGAGGCAGCAGUAGGGAAUAUUGGACAAUGGGGGCAACCCUGAUCCAGCAAUGCAGCGUGAGUGACGAAGGCCUUAGGGUUGUAAAACUCUUUCAUCGGUGAGGAUAAUGACAGUAGCCGAAGAAGAAGGACCGGCUAAUUCCG